rfam:Biomphalaria glabrata isolate BB02 unplaced genomic scaffold LGTN_random_Scaffold10541, whole genome shotgun sequence.
GUGGCUGAGUGGUAAAGCGCUUGGCUUCCGAACCGAGGGUCCUGGGUUCGAAUCCAGGC